rnacentral:precursor_RNA from 8 species
UGCACGUGUGUGUCCAUAUAUUGAGUUGAACAAAAAGUUCGUCCAGAUUUUUCCAUAAGAUGUUACAGAAAAACUGGAACGAACUUUUGGGCCAACCCAAUAUAAUAAUCAGCCAUAAAAAA